GCAUAUCAAUAAGCGGAGGAAAAGAAACCAACAGGGAUUACCUCAGUAACGGCGAGUGAAGCGGUAACAGCUCAAAUUUGAAAUCGGGCUCUUUCAGGGUCCGAGUUGUAAUUUGUAGAAGAUGUUUCGGGUGUGGUUCCGGUCUAAGUUCCUUGGAACAGGACGUCAUAGAGGGUGAGAAUCCCGUAUGCGACUGGUCGCCUUCGCCCAUGUGAAACUCUUUCGACGAGUCGAGUUGUUUGGGAAUGCAGCUCAAAAUGGGUGGUAAAUUUCAUCUAAAGCUAAAUAUUGGCCAGAGACCGAUAGCGCACAAGUAGAGUGAUCGAAAGAUGAAAAGCACUUUGGAAAGAGAGUUAAACAGUACGUGAAAUUGUUGAAAGGGAAGCGCUUGCAACCAGACUCGCGCGCCGUCGAUCAUCCGGUGUUCUCACCGGUGCACUCGGCGGUGCUCGGGCCAGCAUCGGUUUCGGUGGUUGGAUAAAGGCCUUGGGAAUGUGGCUCCUCUCGGGGAGUGUUAUAGCCCUCGGUGCAAUGCAGCCUACCGGGACCGAGGACCGCGCUUCGGCUAGGAUGCUGGCGUAAUGGUUGUAAGCGACCCGUCUUGAAACACGGACCAAGGAGUCUAACAUCUAUGCGAGUGUUUGGGUGUCAAACCCAUACGCGUAAUGAAAGUGAACGGAGGUGAGAACCCUUAAGGGUGCAUCAUCGACCGAUCCUGAUGUCUUCGGAUGGAUUUGAGUAAGAGCAUAGCUGUUGGGACCCGAAAGAUGGUGAACUAUGCCUAAAUAGGGUGAAGCCAGAGGAAACUCUGGUGGAGGCUCGCAGCGGUUCUGACGUGCAAAUCGAUCGUCAAAUUUGGGUAUAGGGGCGAAAGACUAAUCGAACCAUCUAGUAGCUGGU
rnacentral:rRNA from 1 species